CAGUCGCCACGGGAAAACGUAGGGUGCAAGCGUUAAUCGGAAUUACUGGGCGUAAAGCGUGCGCAGGCGGUCCGCUAAGACAGAUGUGAAAUCCCCGGGCUUAACCUGGGAACUGCAUUUGUGACUGGCGGGCUAGAGUAUGGCAGAGGGGGGUAGAAUUCCACGUGUAGCAGUGAAAUGUGUAGAGAUGUGGAGGAAUACCGAUGGCGAAGGCAGCCCCCUGGGCCAAUACUGACGCUCAUGCACGAAAGCGUGGGGAGCAAACAGGAUUAGAGACCCGCGUAGUCCCUGUCUCUUAUAC
rnacentral:rRNA from 1 species